rnacentral:lncRNA from 1 species
CGUUGGGAGGCUGAGGCGGGUGGAUCACUUGAGAUCAGGAGUUCAAGACCAGACUGGCCAACAUGGUGAAACCCCAUCUCUACUAAAAAUACAAAAAAUUAGCCGGGCGUGGUGAUGCGUGCCUGUAAUCCCAGUGACUCGGGAGGCUGAGGCAGGAGAAUCACUUGAACCCAGGAGGCAGAAGUGGCAGUGAGCCGAGAUCACACAACUGCACUCCAGCCUGGUCUUGCUGUGUCACAAAAACAGAGUCUUGCUCUGUCCCAAAAACAAAAACAAAAACAAAUUCCUCCCAGGUCAGGAUAUCAAUAGUACUCACCUCGUAGUGUUGUCAUGAAGAUUAGUAUCACGAGGCUACAACCAUUUAUCGGAUAUCAGAGUUUCAAAAUUUACACUAAAUGGGUUCAAUAAGAUUAUGUAUAACCUCAGGACAGGUCAGGAUUUCCUUCCAAAUGAGUGCUGGCAUCAGACUUUUGAGAAACAGUUCAUUUCAUAGCCUUUUUUGUUUUGUUUUGUUUUUCAGAGAUGUUUCUAGUUGUCAUUAUGGGCUUUUUUUUUUUUUUUCUGAUGCCUGUCUUCCUCCUGCAGUAUGAUAGCCUUUUUUGAUUUUAGAAUUGUGGUUAAAGGAAUGAGGACUUGUAAUGAAGAUAAUAGCUAAUAUUUAUUGAGCAUUUUUGUGAAACCCGGCAAUGUUCCAAGUGCCUCACAUCAAUGAACUUAUUGAAUCCACAGAGCAACUGCACGUGACAGAUAGUGUGGUAAACCCUGUCGGGCAAAUGAGCAAACUGAGGCGUAGGGGGACUAAGUAACGCACUCAAGCAGCAGAGCUGGGAGUAAAUGAGACAAUAUGUAUGAAUUGUUUAUCACAAUGCCUAGCACAUAAUCAACAAUCCAUAUAAACAUUAGCUAUUAUCCUCAUUAAUGAUGGGAGAAUCAUGACUAAUCUUUUUUAUUUUUUGUUUUUCAGACAGGAUCUUGCUCUGUCACCAGGCUGGAGUACAGUGGUGCAAUCAUGGCUCACUGCAGCCUCAAUCUCUUGGGCUCAAGCAAUCCUCCUAGCUCAGUCCCCAAGCAGCUAGGACAGGUGGUCUGAUGCUGGUCUGGGCAGAAAUGGAUUUGUCACCUCAAAGAUGACUUCCUUGGGCACAACUAGGCCAGACGCUGGGUACCUUGUGGUGGCCCUGGAGGGGUACAGCUUCAAGAAAGAACUUGCCGAUCCCCUGCAAAGAAUGCAGUUAGCCAACAGCCUUCGGCCUCAGCACAUUUGAGAUCUGCCUUAACUUUCAAGCCAAGGCUAGCUCUUCCUGAGCAGGCUCCAGCGAAGAACCUGCAUGGAGGGACUAGGACCCGACCAGUUCUGCCCAACAUGGGGCUCCCCUAACAAACAGUCUUUGUUCUGGAGCUCCCAAACUGAGUUGACAAAGCCUCUGUCAGCCCUGCAUUGCCGUCUGAGGCUCCCCUGCUGAGUGCUGCUUUCACCCACUUUUGUCUUUCACAGGCAUGACACUCCUCCCUCUCGUCCUACUAGCUCCACUUUACCAUCUGCUUCCCAGAGGACUGGAACUGACAUGCUGCCUUUACUACCCCGCAACCAUUCUCACCCCACCUCCACAUAUGCCUGCCCAAAUAAUCUUGAUUUUGGGCUCAGCUACUAGAUCGAAAUCCCUUCAUCUUUGGAGAGUGGGUUGCUCCCCAGCCCCAGCAGAUAAAUCAUGAUCUGUCUUAAGUAGACCCAGUAAGUCCUUUCUGUUCUACAGGAAUUGGUCCAGGAUGGGUGCCUGGUCCGCCUUUUAGCCAAUGAGAGGUCAGGGGAAAUCUGGGGCUUCACUUUACUAAUAACAUAGACCUUCAGGUAGUUAAAGCCUUCUGCCCUGCCCCUUCCCUUCCAUUUUGAUCAGUGUCCUGUGAUCAAAUGAUGUGAGGCACUGCAGCAGCUGUUUUGGGCAAUGAGUUUGAGGACAAAAGCCAACUGCUGAAGAUGACAGAGCAGAAAGAUGAGAAGAGCCUGAGUCCUGAAGAACACCCCCGAGCCCCUGCAAUGACUCUGGAGCUGCUGACCUCCACAUGUUUUGCUAUAAAAAAAAAGAUUGCAUUUCUUCUUUGCUCAAGCCACCAUGAAUCAGGCAUGCUGUGACUGGCCGCUGAAAAUAUGGUAACGCAUGCAGUCACAUUCCCCAUGUUCUAUUCUCCAGAUUACCUUCAAACAACUGAAGGUACAGGACUCAGAGUUCCCGUUGAGGUAUUUGAACUAUUUUCCUGGAAGGGAAAUAUUCAAAAAGUCCUCUCAGCCCCGGGCACAGUGGCUUACACUGUGGAUUACAAAAGGACUUUUAAGGACUCAUAGGAUUACAAAAUCCUGUAAUCCCAGCACUUUGGUGGGCAGGUCACCUGAGAUCAGGAGUUCAAGACCAGCCUGGCCAAAAUGGUGAAAUCCCGUCUGUACUAAAAUUAUAAAAAUUACCGAGUGUGGAGGUGCAUGCCUGUAAUUCCAGCUACUGGGGAGGCUGAGGCAGGAGAAUCACUUGAACCCGGGAGGCCGAGGUUGCAGUGAGCUGAGAUCACACCAUUGCACUCUAGCCUGGGCAACAGAGUGAGACUGCAUCUAAAAAAAAAAACCAAAAAAAUUAUCUCAUUUCCAACUUGCCAACACCUGUGAUAAUGUAAACCAAAAAUGAAAUUCUAAGCCCCUCAACUGACUGAAUGAAUCCCCAUCUUCACCAAGGUGAUCCCAAAGAAAACCUGAAAAACUAGUUCAGGCCAUGAUGGGAAGGAAGGUCAGAUAUGCCUCUUCGCCUCUUCAUACUUUCCUCCCUUUGGAGUUUAGGCACAACUGGUCAGCAUUCAUAUUAAAAUACAGAUCAUCAUAGGGCGGGCAUGGUGGCUCACGCCUGUAAUCCCAGCACUUUGGGAGGCCGAGGCAGGCAGAUCACUUGAAGUCAGGAGUUUGAGACCAGCCUGGCCAACAUGGUGAAACCCCGUCUCUACCAAAAAUACAAAAAUUAGCCAGGCAUGGUGGCAGGCGCCUGUAAUCCCAGCUACUUGGGAGGCUGAGGCAGGAGAAUUGCUUGAACCUGGGAGGUGGAGGUUGCAGUGAGCUGAGUUCGCUCCACUGCAAUCCAGCCUGGGUGACAGAGCGAGACUCCAUCUCAAAAAACAAAACAAAACACAAAAAACCAGAUCAUCAGAUGGACAAAACAGACUCUUUGUGCAAUAAGAUACCAAAUUCCAACCUGACCCUGUAUGUGAUGUAGAGCAUAACAGUGACAGAUAACAGGCCCUAAGGAAAGUCAAAGUAUUUUACCCCAAGAUAUAUUUAUUUGACAUAUUUUGGAGUGACCCUGCAAAGCCCACUCUUUGCCUUCUGUAGCGAAUCCCCUUCCUGUUCCAGGUCUUUUCCUGAUCCAGGAGAGAAUUAAACUAAGAGUCUAACACCUUUUGAGGUCUAAUAAGAGAAAUCUACCAUCUAUCCUGUCUGAAGCUGGGUGCUUAGAGGCUUCAUCUACAUAAACAAGAACCUUGGCUUCCACAACUCUCUUACCUUAACUCAAGCAUUUCUUUUUCUUUCUUUUUUUUUUUUUUGAGUUGGGUUCUCACCCUGUCACCUAGGCUGGAGUGCAGUGGUGUGAUCUCAGCUCACUGAAACCUCUGCCUCCCAGGUUCAAGCCAUCCUCCUGACUCCACCUCCUGAUAGCUGGGAGCACAGGUGCGUACCACCACGCUGGGCUAAUUUUUGGUAGAGUCAGGGGUCUCUCCAUGUUGCCCAGUCUGGCCUGGGACUCCUAGGCUCAAGCGAUCCACCCGUCUUGGCCUCCUAAAGUGCUGGGAUUAUAGGUGUGAGCCACCGCACCUGACCUCAAACAUUUCUUUAUGCUGACUUCAACUCCUCAGGCAAUGCUUCACUCUUUCAAUCAAUUGCCAAUAAGGAAAUCUUCGAAUCCACCUAUGCCCUGGAAGUCCCUCUGCUUCCAUCUUUGAGAUGUCCUGCCUUUUGAGGCUGAACCAAUGUAUACAUUUCAUGUAUUGCUUUAUGUCUUUGUUUGUGACUUCCAUCUCUCUAAAAUGUAUAAAACCAAACUGCAACCUGACCACCUUGUGCAUAUGUCCUCAGGACCCCCUGAGGCUGUGUCACGGGCCAUGAUCACUCAUAUUUGGGUCAGAAUAAACUUCUUCAAAUAUUUUACGGAGUUUGGCUUUUUUCCUCAACAAUACUUACCUCUCCCUUGCUUCAAACCCUCCCAUGGCUCCCCAGUACUUUUUCAGUUUUUUUUUUGAGACAGAGUUUUGCUCUUUUUGUCCAGGCUGGAGUGUCGUGGUGCGAUC